AGUGAACGCUGGCGGCAGGCCUAACACAUGCAAGUCGAACGGCAGCACAGUGGUAGCAAUACCAUGGGUGGCGAGUGGCGGACGGGUGAGGAAUACAUCGGAAUCUACCUUGUCGUGGGGGAAAACGUAGGGAACCUUACGCUAAUACCGCAUCCGACCUUCGGGUGAAAGCAGGGGACCUUCGGGCGUUGCGCCAUUAGAUGAGCCGAUGUCGGAGUAGCCAGUUGGCGGGGUAAGGGCCCACCAAGGCGACGAUCCGUAGGUGGGCUGAGAGGAUGAUAAGCCACAAUGGAACUGAGACACGGUCCAGACUCCUACGGGAGGCAGCAGUGGGGAAUAUUGGACAAUGGGCGCAAGCCUGAUCCAGCCAUGCCGCGUGGGUGAAGAAGGCCUUCGGGUUGUAAAGCCCUUUUGUUGGGAAAGAAAAGUAGUCGGCUAAUACCCGAUUGUUCUGACGGUACCCAAAGAAUAAGCACCGGCUAACUUCGUGCCAGCCGCCGCCGUAAAAC
rnacentral:rRNA from 1 species